UCAAAUCCCUGCAGGGGGAGACCAGCAGCCCCAACUUUAGCUGCCAUGCCUCCUGCCUGAGAAGCUAGCUGUGAAGGUUCCAGAAGGAGACUGCCCUCCAGGAAUAGAAACAGCGCAUGACUGCGACCUGUCUGCAAAAAUCUUUAUCACUUGUAAAUCCUUCUCCACCUGAUAAGUUAUCUCAUUGGCUCAUGAUGGUUUUUUUCAUUCUCACCCUAUGGCAUGGAUGCUGUUACUACCCCAUUUUACAAAGGAGUAAAGUGAGGCCCAGAGAGAACAGUUAAAUCACUUCCCCAGCUUCACUCAACUCAUCCGCGAUGAGUCCACGGUACACAUGCCCUUCCACAACACAAAGGUCUGCACUUUGCCACGUGUACUCUGAUUGUUCUAGGUGCAGAUUUUGUGUCCGCUUCUUUACUUCUAAUGGCCACUCCAUUUUGCAUUGGAUGGUUACACCGUCAUUUAUUUGACUCAUCUCCUAUGCACAAGCAUCUAGUUUAUCUCCAAACUUUUGCUACCGAAAACAAUGCUGCAAUGAAUAAAUAAGCUGAUGCAUGCUUCUG
rnacentral:lncRNA from 1 species